rnacentral:rRNA from 1 species
GUAGGGAAUAUUGGGCAAUGGAUGCAAGUCUGACCCAGCCAUCCCGCGUGCCGGAAGAAGGCCCUCAGGGUUGUCAACGGCUUUUGACGGUGAAGAAUCGACAGGAUGCGUCCUGUUUUGACGGUAGCCGUUGAAUAAGCACCGGCUAACUCCGUGCCAGCAGCCGCGGUAAUACGGAGGGUGCGAGCGUUGUCCGGAUUUAUUGGGUUUAAAGGGUGCGUAGGCUGGAAGGUCAGUCAGCGGUGAAAAGCUGUCGCUUAACGAUAGUCUUGCCGCAGAUACUUCCUUUCUUGGAUGAGGAGGAGGCCACUGGAACGGAUGGUGUAGCGGUGAAAUGCAUAGAUAUCAUCCAGAACACCGAUUGCGAAGGCAGGUGGCUGUACCUUAAUCGACGCUGAUGCACGAAAGCAUGGGGAGCAAACAGGAUUAGAAACCCGUGUAGUCC